rnacentral:sRNA from 1 species
CAGACAACCGAGAGUUUCAGAGGCAAGGAAAAGAUCUGGAAAAAGUUAAGCAGCGAUUAAUAGAGAUUGCUAAUCACGUUGACAAGUUUUACAGAUCGCUGAACAUUCGGAUCGUGUUGGUAGGCUUGGGGAUGCCAGUUAAAUUCAGUCUCAACUCCAAAGGUGAUUCAGAGAUGAAUCAGUAACUGCUUUAAUGAUACUAACAUCUCAGAAUCAAAAAGAACCAAGUAUUGUAGAUGGCUUAAAGGAGAAAAGCAUAUCCCUUCAUAUACCUUGUUUAUUCUUUAUCCAAACAUUCCAGAAUCCUAACUCUGAAAACAUUAACCAAUUGCUGUCACUGACAAAUGGGACCUGAGGCCUGUAAAUACAAGGAUAGAGUCC